UUAAGCAUAUUUAUGUGUCAUUUUAGGCGUUAUUAUGUUUUUAAAAAUGUAACCCUGUUGUGUUUUAAUUUUACUUAAUUUCAGAAAUGCCUGAACAGUGAUUUUUGUAGUCGAUGUUUCCUCCUCAAUGUUAAUUUCGGAAGCAGUGUAAUAAAUCCCCCUCGGUAUUUUGACUAAGUGUACGGAAACGUUUUGUACCUUUUGGAUUGUGGAUUACGUUCAAUGUAUCUGUAUUAGGAGUCCAGGUUGCACAUCUCAUUACAUCCGAGGACCAGACUAAAUCGUAACGAGCAGUUUAUUAGUUUAAUUGCAUUUUAAGUUUCCAAAGGAUCAUUUUAAUAUAUUUUAUUCCGAAUGGUUAAGGGACUAUUAUUUGAAAGGAAGGUAUAUAAGGUUAUUUUCCUUGACUGCCGUGUUUAUGUCAUUUCAACGUAACAACAUACUUCCCAGAACGGAACUGUGUAUGCAGUAUAUGACGCCAUUCGUCACAAUAUAAUGCAUUUAGAUGCUGUGUUCCAUUGAAUGUACAGUCAUACAGUUUAAAUCAAAACAAUCCGCCAGCAAUGAGUCAAAAUAUAUCUCCAAUUUAAUCACCUAAAAUUUAUGCGUUUAUACGAAAAGCUCGAUUUAAAGCGUACCUAUUUUUCUCGUACCAAAAUAUUUGCUGUACCUUAAUAUCCGAAAUAUAAAAUACGUGUAACAGGUUUCGAAAGGGAAGCUACUUCUGCUUCUUGUUAGGUACAAAUUUUUUUCGGCGUGCCGUAUUAAGCACGAUUUUAUGACCUCGUAUGACCUUAUGCGGCCUGAAUAAUGAACCAAUCGAAUUGCUUCGUAAAGUAUUCUCGGUAUUUUCAGCCAUAAUGAGAGAUUUAUUAAGAGUGGCGCUGAUUGGAGGAAAGGCUGAAAAUGUUUCACUCUGAGUCAUGUGUGACACUGAGUGAAAUGACAACGCGUUCGUCAUCAAUAACCUCUAUAAGUACAGCACUAUCGGGUUGUAUGCGUACCACUUGAACAGGUGUGCGUAAUCAAAUAUUCAUCUGCUCCUCCGGACAUAUUUCUGUUUUGUUAAGUUUUCUUGUUAAGUUAUUUCUGUUUUGUUAAGUUUCCUUUCCUUAAGUUUUGUUUUUACAAAAAAGGUUAUUUGUUUUAUACAGCCAUUAACUCUUACUCUGCAUUACAGCAACAAUAUCUACCAGUACAAAUCAUUACUAACCUGCAACAACAUGUCCGAUACUGUUAAAUUUUAGACUAAAUUUUAAAUUAAUCUUUCCGGUGAAAACAGUACUGUACAUAUUCUGAAUGAUAGAAAAAUUUGAUAAUAAGCUGAAGUAGGGUAAGGGUUCAUGUCGCUUUCAACAAUUCCAGAAAUAAAGUAUAGAACGUAUUUCAAUAUAAUUGUUUGCUUACUGUUACCAUCUUUUAAGCACCAAAGGCUCAAAGUGUGCUUUUGUGAUUGUUUGGUGUCCGUUGUGUGUGCCUCCACAAUUUCUAAACACAGUCUUUUUCAGAACUACUGUCCUCAUUUAUGCAAAACUUCACAGAGGCCACUUUCAACAUUGCCAAAACAAAUUUAAAUACAGGUUUCUGCACAUAUAUAACUUGUGCUUUAGUUACAUCACGCCGACCAUCUUUUCUAAAGAUAUUUCUUGUUAUGCACAUGUGUAUGUAGGAGUUGAAGAUCGCUUAUUUUUACUCGCGUUUGGUCCUUUAGCUGGGAAUAGGCUAAGGUGACCUACUACUCGGUCUUCCUAGUAUUAUGCAUUUUAUUGAAGUUUAGCAAACACAAAUAUAAUUACAAGUCUAAGAGAAACGUUUACAGUAUUGCAACAGACUUAAAAAAUAUGUAGACAAUAUUCAUUUAGUUAAAUGUUUUAAAACAGCUUAGAGUCCUCCGAAAUGUUUGACGUUAUAAAAGGUGUCAUUUUUCUGUCUUUUUGCUGUAGUGAGCAUUCGUGUAAAGACUUUGGUUGGAGAUGUACGUGAUUUCAACGACAUCAGUAGGUCUUGCUCUGUUAGAGAAUUCAGAAACAAAGUAUCAGCAGUGAUGGGCAUUCCAGCAGAUGAAUUCAUGUAAGUUCAUAAUGAAACAGAGCUAUUAGACUGGACACUACUGAAUACGUAUGCCAUCAAAAAUAAAGCGACGGUUAACGUCCUUCCCCGACGAGGAAACGGUCUUUUUGAAUCUGUUAGAUAUAUCUUCAAACAAGCAUGUGAUGUAACAACUAAUCUAGUUGACUGGUUUCCAAGUAUUUUCCGAGAUACAACCCGCAUACUUACAGAAAAAGACUUGAGUAAAAUAGCACAAGGAAUAGGUAGCAGCUGGAAGCUGUUAGGAUAUGAGCUUGGGUUGACAAAAGUACAGAUGGAGCACAUUUCCGAAAAUGAAGGGUCGAUGGUCAUGAAGAUUUUGGGGAUGUUGUGGCAGUGGCGAGAGGCAGAUCCGUUCGCAGCAACUGUGGGUAGGCUUCACGAAGCUAUGAAAAACUGCAGCAAAGUAACCAUUGAUUGGACAGUCAUAGGUCGAGUCUUUGCUGGCAUAUAGAUGUAUUUCAUAAACCCCAUUCCUUAACAAUGGAAGAAAAAUGUCGCACAUGCGCAUUUUGCAUUUGUCUAAAAUAGACAUAACUUCAGAAUGUAAACUACGUUAGACUUAAUCACAGUGCCAUCAAGGAUAACAUGGUGUAAUAGGCAUAUUUCAUAUCUUGGAACUGGAUGGUAAUAUCUUUAUGAAAUUUAGUCACUUUAAAGACAUUCAAAAAUAAAAACGUUUCACCGAGA